GGACUGUCCAAUGGAUUAUGGUCUGAACAAAAUAUAAAAUUAUUGUUUUAGAUAUUAAAAACGAUUAUCGCCUUUGAUUUAAGGAUAUAAAAACUCAAAGCAGACUAAAGGAAGUAUAACACAAACCAACACAUAAGCCCAAGCGGAUGGGAAUUCCAUAUUAUAUUUCAAAAACGCCGCUCGACGUUUUUGACCUAAAAAUAAAUGUAGCUGAAAAUCAGCUGACAAGUCACGUGGUACAUGGUACUGUCAUUUAUUUUUGGCAUAGAAAUUACAUUAUUUCUAAAGAAAGAGAUUUAGCUUGUUGAGCAAAUAAUUGAUUUUCAUUGAAUAUUUUUGAUAAACCAAUAAAAUAUACUUCAUAUUUAAAUCAAUAUUUUUUAUUGGAAAAUCACUUUUCACAAAUACGAAUAUGCGGUCGAAAAGAAUUCAAGAUGGUUCGGACAAAAACAAGUGCUAGCGCUAAGACUAAAAAAAAAAACAAGAGAUGCAAGGUACAGGCGUAAUAAAAGGGAAAGGAUAAUAGACAUUGGUAUUCAGUGUGAUCGAUGGAGAAGAGUUAAAGAAGCUACUGGGAUUGAAAAGGACGAGAAAAUGAUGGAAAUAUUGAUCGAUGCAACUACUUCUGAACUAGAGAGCUUCAACAAUCAUCUUUUGAUACGCUCCAAACCAAAGCGAAAUGCUUUCAGCUGUGCAGGUGUCAGUUAGCAGCAAUAGAUUAUUCAAAACACUUGAAUCGUCCUGUUUUGUUGGACAAAGAAGGAAAUGAGAGGAGAAAAAAGGUGUACUCAAAAGCUGCUUGUAAUUGGAGCACAAGGCCUGUGAAAAAAACAUACAUAACCGGUUUGAUCACUGAAGUUAUAAAUGAAUUCACCAUAGGCAAGAAAAGAAUAAGUGGCAAAUGUGAACAGCUGCCUGAAGACUCCAAAAGAAUUAGGUCAACUAUAGCCCCCGUCACCCCUCCACCUACAUCAAUACUUAGAGAUCAGCAUGUCUCUAGAUUGAGAAAAGCGAAAAAAUGAAUUGUUGCCCAAGACGUGUUUGAUAUUCAUUUGAAGUUGACGCAGAAGUUAUCUUUGUUAGAUAACUAUUAAGUUUCACAUCUUUAGUGUAAAUAUAAUUUUAGAAGUGUUUUGAAAAUGUACAAUCUUACAUUAUGUUAUAAAUAAUGAAUGCUCUUGGUUGUACAAUGCAAUUACAUUUUUUAGGAAGUUUUAAUAUUGAAUUUAGCAUAAAAUAUUUUUUUUA